UGGGGAAUAUUGGACAAUGGGCGAAAGCCUGAUCCAGCCAUGCCGCGUGUGUGAAGAAGGCCCUCGGGUUGUAAAGCACUUUCAGUGGGGAAGAAAGCCUUGGGAUUAAUACUCCCGAGGAAGGACAUCACCCACAGAAGAAGCACCGGCUAACUCCGUGCCAGCAGCCGCGGUAAUACGGAGGGUGCGAGCGUUAAUCGGAAUUACUGGGCGUAAAGCGCGCGUAGGCGGUCUGAUAAGCCGGUUGUGAAAGCCCCGGGCUCAACCUGGGAACGGCAUCCGGAACUGUCAGGCUAGAGUGCAGGAGAGGAAGGUAGAAUUCCCGGUGUAGCGGUGAAAUGCGUAGAGAUCGGGAGGAAUACCAGUGGCGAAGGCGGCCUUCUGGACUGACACUGACGCUGAGGUGCGAACGCGUGGGUAGCAAA
rnacentral:rRNA from 1 species